GAUGAACGCUGGCGGCGUGCUUAACACAUGCAAGUCGAACGAAGCACUUAAGCCAGAUUCUUCGGAUGAAGACUUUUGUGACUGAGUGGCGGACGGGUGAGUAACGCGUGGGUAACCUGCCUCAUACAGGGGGAUAACAGUUAGAAAUGACUGCUAAUACCGCAUAAGACCACAGCACCGCAUGGUGCAGGGGUAAAAACUCUGGUGGUAUGAGAUGGACCCGCGUCUGAUUAGCUGGUUGGUGGGGUAACGGCCUACCAAGGCGACGAUCAGUAGCCGACCUGAGAGGGUGACCGGCCACAUUGGGACUGAGACACGGCCCAAACUCCGAAGGGAGGCAGCAGUGGGGAAUAUUGCAAAAUGGGGGAAACCCUGAUGCAGCGACGCCGCGUGAAGGAUGAAGUAUUUCGGUAUGUAAACUUCUAUCAGCAGGGAAGAAAAUGACGGUACCUGACUAAGAAGCCCCGGCUAACUACGUGCCAGCAGCCGCCGUAA
rnacentral:rRNA from 1 species